UACGGAGGGAGCUAGCGUUGUUCGGAAUUACUGGGCGUAAAGCGUACGUAGGCGGCUUUUUAAGUCAGGGGUGAAAUCCUGGAGCUCAACUCCAGAACUGCCUUUGAUACUGAGAAGCUUGAGUCCGGGAGAGGUGAGUGGAACUGCGAGUGUAGAGGUGAAAUUCGUAGAUAUUCGCAAGAACACCAGUGGCGAAGGCAGGUCUCUGGGCAUUAACUGACGCUGAGGAGCGAAAGCAUGGGGAGCGAACAGG
rnacentral:rRNA from 1 species